UCUGGGACACUCCCUUACUCCCUUUUACUUUCUGCAGAAGUAGUUUCUCCCCAGGCCCCAAAUGGGUUUCCAAGCCACCUGUUUUCUAUUGCAAACUCACCAGCCUUGUGUCUUCCCCGGUAAGAAAAUGGAGAGAUAGAAGGAGCCUUGGAUUUGGGGGAGAAGGCCUGGGAUCUAGGCCCCACUCUCCACUUAGCAGCUGUGUAACCUUAGGCAAGUGGCCUAACCUCUCUGAGCUUUUGCCUCAUUGGAAGCUGAGGAAGCCCAAGCUCCCUCCGCGGUCAUCAUGAGAUCACACUGGUUUGUUCAAAUGGUUUGAACACUCCACGUUCUCCCACGGAGGGGCCACACGGGGGAACCGUGCUACCUUGGGGGAUUGAGGGCUAUGUGAGGCAUCCAGAGAGGGUCCCAGUGUGGGGAGGUACUAGAUGAUUUAAUCCCUUGCCCCCUGUACUGGGUUAGGUACUAUCCCCACCCAAAAUUCAUGUCCACUUGGAACCUCAGAAAGUGACCUUAGGGGCUUUGCAGAUAUAAUUCGUUAAGAUGCAGCUGUACUGGACCAGGGUGGACCCCUCAUCCGGUAUGACCUGUGGCCUUAUAAAAAGAAAAGAGGACACUCAGAAAACAGACACAGGCCACGUGAAGACAGGCACACAUGAGGGAUACAGUGUAAGUCAUGGAGCUCUAAGGCUGCUGAGAGCCACCAGAAGCUGGGUGAGGCCUGGGACCCAUUCUCUCUCUGAGCCUCCAGGAGGAAUAACCUGGCUGAUACCUUGAUUUCAGCUUUGUAGCCUCCAGGCUAGGAGAGAAUAGAUGCUGUUAUCUUAAGCCACUGAGUUUGUGGGAGUUUGUUCACAGCGGCCCUGAAAGACGAAUCCCCACCUCUACCCUUGGUUUCAAAUCCUUGACUCUUAGGGCUUCCUAAUAAUCAACUUUCUACUUUCUAUUUGCCCAGAAAAAGAAAGACAGCUUUGAGGGUAGGGAAGUCGGGGAGGGGAAGGACACCAAAACUCAAACCUCGGAGAUUUCACAGCAGACCUGAAGCCUCCAGAGAUAGAAAAGAAACCGGGCCUGGGGCCGAGAACCUUGAGCAGAGAAGCUCUGAGCAUAAUCAAGUGUUCCCCUCCUGGCAUGAUUCCACAGUCAGCUAGACUUAAUGUUGCUAAUGAAUAAAUAAGAAGAGCCGACCGGAGCCAGAGGUUUCUCUGAAAAAUCAAAGCCAUAUUUUCAUUCAUGCCUUUGAAAGAAGUGAGAUUUUAGUAUUAGUUUAAUAUUCAAUGAAUAAAACUAUCUUGAGUGGA